UACGUAUGGAGCAAGCGUUAUCCGGAUUUACUGGGCGUAAAGGGAACGCAGGCGGUCUUUUAAGUCUGAUGUGAAAGCCUUCGGCUUAACCGGAGUAGUGCAUUGGAAACUGGGAGACUUGAGUGCAGAAGAGGAGAGUGGAACUCCAUGUGUAGCGGUGAAAUGCGUAGAUAUAUGGAAGAACACCAGUGGCGAAAGCGGCUCUCUGGUCUGUAACUGACGCUGAGGUUCGAAAGCGUGGGUAGCAAACAGG
rnacentral:rRNA from 1 species